rnacentral:sRNA from 1 species
AAAAAAAAUUCCGCCAAAAAAAUUUUCGUGACAAAUUUUUUCUCAGCCAAAAAAUACUUUUAAAAAUUCUUGUAAAUUUUUUUUGGCGGGAAAGAGAUUUACAAAGGAUUUUAAAAAUGUUUUAAAAGAUUUACAAUGGAUUUUAAAAGGGUUUAAAAUAUUUAUAAGGGAUUUUGAAGGGCUUUCAAAGAUUUAUAAAGGUUUUUUAAAAAUUUUUAAAGGGUUUAAAAAUGUUUUAAAAGAUUUACAAGAGAUUGAAAAGGGUUUUAAAAUAUUUACACGGGAUUUUAAAAGUGUUUUACAAGAUUUACAAGAGAUUUUAAAAGGUUUUAAUAAAAUUUACAAGAGUUUUUAAAGGGUCUUCUUGUAAAUUAUUUAAAAAUCUUUUAAAACUCCUUGUACAUCUUUUAAAACUCUUUUAAAAUUUCUUGUAAAUCUUUAAAACCCUUUAAAAUCCCUUGUAAAUCUUUUAAAAUACUUUUAUACCCUUUAAAAAUCUUUUAAAAAUCUUUGUAAAUCUUUUAAAGCCCUUUGAAAUCCCUUGUAAAUAUUUUAAAAUCUUUUAAAAUUCCUUGUAAAUGUUUUAAAACCCUUUUAAAAUCACAUGUAAAUAUUUUAAAACUCUUUUAAAAUCCCUUGUAAAUAUUUUAAAACCUUUCUAAAAUCGCUUGUAAAUAUUUUAAAACUCUUUUAAAAUCCCUUGUAAAUCUAUUUUACGGAAAAAUAUUUUUGAAAAAAGUUUUGGCGGGAAUGUUUUUUUUUCAAA